AUGUGUUUCUCGGCUCCCCGCUGCGCCCAGCCUGGGCCCCGGGGCACCCUUUUAGGAGGCCGUCGCCGGGCAAGGCGACCCCCACCAGCGCCCGGGGCCCCCGGGAGCCCCUUAAAUGGCGGCCGCCGGGCUCCCGGAGGGGGCAGGCCGACGACGACCAUGCCGAGGGAAGCCGUGCUUCUGCUGGCCUGGCUGGCCUUGCUGCUGGCCCUCCCGGCCCCACUGCUGGCCUUCCCCAGCGCAACGCCAGGUGAAGUGACCAUCACUGAAAGCAGAGGCCGAAGGAGUGAAUACAUUGAAUAUGACUCUAUCGCAGAGGAAGACUACUUGACUGGUAUGUCCAGUUAGUUCUGCUUCUUUAACCCUUCUAUAUGCAAAUAUCUUCUGCCAACAGUCACACAUAACACUCUCACACACCUUUCAGAUUUCUACUAUGGCAUAGAAGCCUACUGUGUAGAGAGAAGAAGGAAAAUUUUAUAGUCAUUGCUUGCUUAUUGGCUUCUUAGCCUAUUCCUUUGUGAAGUAUAAUGAGAGGCAGACGGACUGAGGGUUUUUAUUGUUUCUUGCUUUUUUUUUUUUUGUAAAAGGCAAGAAAGUAUUUCUUUUUCUUAAAAGAAAUAUUUCUUAAAAAUAUUGAAAAUGUGAAGUCUGGUCUGCUAGUUUAGUAGGAAAAUUUCUUGGAGCCAUCAGAGAUUAAUCAGUUAUUUUUAGUAUGCUAUAUUAUGCUGGAAAUGGAUAAAAACUUCAAUAUUUCUUCCAUUUCCUUUCUCCAGCUGUAAGUAUACCAUAGAAAUUAAAUAAAUGUAAACAGAAGCCCA
rnacentral:lncRNA from 1 species